UCCCUAGUGGCUCAGUUGGUAAAGAAUCUGCCUGCAAUGCAGGAGACCCAGGUUCGAUCCCUGGGUAGGGAA
rnacentral:tRNA from 1 species